CCUACGGGUGGCAGCAGUGGGGAAUAUUGGACAAUGGGCGAAAGCCUGAUCCAGCCAUGCCGCGUGUGUGAAGAAGGCCUUCGGGUUGUAAAGCACUUUCAGUGGGGAAGAAAGCCUUGGGGCUAAUACCCUCGAGGAAGGACAUCACCCACAGAAGAAGCACCGGCUAACUCCGUGCCAGCAGCCGCGGUAAUACGGAGGGUGCGAGCGUUAAUCGGAAUUACUGGGCGUAAAGCGCGCGUAGGCGGUCUGAUAAGCCGGUUGUGAAAGCCCCGGGCUCAACCUGGGAACGGCAUCCGGAACUGUCAGGCUAGAGUCCAGGAGAGGAAGGUAGAAUUCCCGGUGUAGCGGUGAAAUGCGUAGAGAUCGGGAGGAAUACCAGUGGCGAAGGCGGCCUUCUGGACUGACACUGACGCUGAGGUGCGAAAGCGUGGGUAGCAAACAGGAUUAGAUACCCGAGUAGUC
rnacentral:rRNA from 1 species